GGAGUGUAGAGCUCAGUGGUACAGCACAUGCUUAGCUUGCAUGAGGUCCUGGGUUCAAUCCCCAGUACCUCCA
rfam:Camelus ferus unplaced genomic scaffold scaffold941, whole genome shotgun sequence.